GGGACAGUGGCACAACGGAUAAUGCGUUUGACUACGGAUCAAGAAAUUCAAUGUUCGAAUCCUGGCUGGCUCG